rnacentral:rRNA from 1 species
GACAGAGGUGCCGAGCGUUAGGCGGAAUCACUGGGCUUAAAGCGUGUGUAGGCGGGCCGUUAAGUAUCUUGUGAAAUCCCCCGGCUCAACCGGGGAAUGGCUGGAUAUACUGGCGGUCUUGAGCGAUCUAGGGGCAGAUGGAACAAGUGGUGGAGCGGUGAAAUGCGUAGAGAUCCGGAAGAACACCGGUGGCGAAGGCGGUCUGCUGGGCAGUUGCUGACACUGAGGCGCGACAGCGUGGGGAGCAAACAGG